rnacentral:rRNA from 1 species
GCCAGCCCGCUCAGAAACUUAAAGGAAUUGACGGGGGCCCGGCACAAGCGGUGGAGUAUGUGGUUUAAUUCGAUGCAACGCGAAGAACCUUACCUGGUCUUGACAUCCCGGAGACCCUUAGGAAACUAGGGGGUGCUUCCAUCUGGAAGAAUCUGGAGACAGGUGCUGCAUGGCUGUCGUCAGCUCGUGUCGUGAGAUGUUGGGUUAAGUCCCGCAACGAGCGCAACCCUUGCCUUUAGUUGCCAGCAGUUCGGCUGGGCACUCUAAAGGGACUGCCGGUGUUAAACCGGAGGAAGGUGGGGAUGACGUCAAGUCCUCAUGGCCUUUAUGACCAGGGCUACACACGUACUACAAUGGCCGAUACAAAGGGCAGCGACACUGCGAGGUGAAGCCAAUCCCGUAAAAUCGGUCUCAGUCCGGAUUGGAGUCUGCAACUCGACUCCAUGAAGUUGGAAUCGCUAGUAAUCGUGGAUCAGCAUGCCACGGUGAAUACGUUCCCGGGCCUU